AACGAACGCUGGCGGCAGGCUUUACACAUGCAAGUCGAGCGCCCCGCAAGGGGAGCGGCAGACGGGUGAGUAACGCGUGGGAAUCUACCCAUCUCUACGGAAUAACGCAUGGAAACGUGUGCUAAUGCCGUAUACGUCCUUCGGGAGAAAGAUUUAUCGGAGAUGGAUGAGCCCGCGUUGGAUUAGCUAGUUGGUGGGGUAAAGGCCUACCAAGGCGACGAUCCAUAGCUGGUCUGAGAGGAUAAUCAGCCACACUGGGACUGAGACACGGCCCAGACUCCUACGGGAGGCAGCAGUGGGGAAUAUUGGACAAUGGGCGCAAGCCUGAUCCAGCCAUGCCGCGUGAGUGAUGAAGGCCCUAGGGUUGUAAAGCUCUUUCACCGGUGAAGAUAAUGACGGUAACCGGAGAAGAAGCCCCGGCUAACUUCGUGCCAGCAGCCGCCGUAACAC
rnacentral:rRNA from 1 species